rnacentral:rRNA from 1 species
GGGCCCGCACAAGCAGCGGAGCAUGUGGCUUAAUUCGAAGCAACGCGAAGAACCUUACCAAGACUUGACAUUAUAGUGAAGCAGCGGAAACGCUGUGGCCGAAAGGAGCUAUAACAGGUGGUGCAUGGCUGUCGUCAGCUCGUGUCGUGAGAUGUUGGGUUAAGUCCCGCAACGAGCGCAACCCUCGUCGUAUGUUACUAACAUUUAGUUGAGAACUCAUGCGAGACUGCCGGCGUCAAGCCGGAGGAAGGCGGGGAUGACGUCAAGUCAUCAUGCCCCUUAUGUCUUGGGCUGCACACGUGCUACAAUGGCCGGUACAACGGGCCGCAAUGCCGCGAGGCGGAGCGAAUCCCUUAAAACCGGUCCCAGUUCGGAUCGGAGGCUGCAACUCGCCUCCGUGAAGUCGGAGUUGCUAGUAAUCGCGGAUCAGCAUGCCG